CCUACGGGUGGCAGCAGUGAGGAAUAUUGGUCAAUGGGCGAGAGCCUGAACCAGCCAAGUCGCGUGAGGGAGUACUGCCCUAUGGGUUGUAAACCUCUUUUGUCGGGGAGCAAAAGUCGGACGUGUCCGGCUGUGAGAGUACCCGAAGAAAAAGCAUCGGCUAACUCCGUGCCAGCAGACGCGGUAAUACGGAGGAUGCGAGCGUUAUCCGGAUUAAUUGGGUUAAAGGGGGGCGCAGGCGGUCUGUUAAGUCAGCGGUCAAAGCGCGGGGGUAACCCCCGGGCCGCCGUUGAUACUGGCAGUCUCGAGUUGGAGAGAAGUAUGCGGAAUGCGCGGUGUAGCGGUGAAAUGCAUAGAUAUCGCGCAGAACUCCGAUUGCGAAGGCAGCAUGCCGGCUCCACACUGACGCUGAGGCACGAAAGCGUGGGUAUCGAACAGGAUUAGAUACCCCUGUAGUC
rnacentral:rRNA from 1 species